AGAGCUUGGCAACUGCGCCCCAACUCCACUGCCAGCCAACGGGGCCAGGUCAGGCCCGGGCACUCCGGGGAGGCAGGGGUCCCUCCCCGGUGCACCUGGUGCAGUGCUGUCCUGGGACCCCGGUGGGGGCUCUGGGCAGGGCUCAGUGUUUAGCAUUGUGGUCGCACCUGGCCUCAGAGGCCCCGGCCACCGAGGAGCCUCCUGGGGACUCUAGGCUGGGCUCUUCUGCAUGGAACGCCCCGCCUCUCUUUGGGCCUCAGUUUCCAUCUUGUUCACCAGUUGGGGGCUGGCUCUUCCCAGCCUUCAGGUGGCCUCUCUCUCUGACUCCAGCCCCCACCCUCCUUUGUUGGGACCCUCCAGACCCAUCCGCUAGUCACAGGAGCGUGUCCCUGAAAGGAACUGGCUGCCUUCACUGUGAGAGCCGGGCUGCACAGAUCCCCUGAUGGGGUGCCCCUUCCUGAGGUGGCUCUUGGAGGCUCUGGCCAGUGAGGUCAAGCCUGUGUAUCCUACCAGGGCCCUGGAGGGGUGGACGAGGCCAACACAGUCCCUGGGGGAAUCCUGGGAUCUCUGACACCUGGCGGGGGUCCCUGAGCAGAGGGGCCUGAGGGGCACCCAAGGGGUGGGUGGGAAGCCCCUAAGCCACACCCAUGGUCAGGCCCUGGUGUGGAAGCACCUGCAGCUCCAGCUGGGCCAAGGUACUGGGGCCUCUCCUUGUGGGUGCAGGGGCCGGGGCAGGACCGAUGGUGAGUGGGGUCAUGGAGGGGAUGCAGCUGGGUGGCCUGUGCAUGGCUGCAGAGCCCCUGGUGAGGGGACAGCAAGGGGCUAGGUCCACUCAGGGUUCCUCCUGGUCAGGGGCUGGGAGGCCCCACCCUGCCCUACCCCACCUGGGCUCAAGGUCACGAGUGGAGCAGAGGGUCACAGCCCAGCAAGCAGCAGCAGCGCAGCCUGGGCGCCACCCGGGUCCUCAGGGCUAGCCAGGAGCCCCCCGCGUUGCUGUGGCACACAGAGGUGGCGGGAGGGGUGGGGCAGUUGCAGUGACUGCCAAGUGUAUGGGUGGACGGACGGGGGACAGACAGACUGGUGGUCAGACUCGGGGUUGGUGGGGGGACAGGUGACAGGCCGGGCCUGUGCCUGGCAGGUGUCAGCUGUGCCAGGGCCACCCCAGCCACGGGAGAGCUGGUUGGUGUUCAGGGGCACCGAUGGGCCGAGUCCGGGUUCGGAGGUCAGCCUGGAGCUCCCCCGAGCAGGACGGCUGGGUCCAAACCACUAGAAAUAGUCUGAAAUUGUUCUUCCGUGGGCACCAACCUGCAGAGGGGUGUGGGUGCUGGGCUGGGAUUCGCAGCCCCCCGAGGCUGCCCAAGCCCAUCCUUCCCACCAGCAGGGCACAGCCUACCUUCCCCUCAUUCAGCCCCAGCACUGCCCAACCAUCUGGGCUAGGUCCAUCCGUCCACUGAUGGGAGAGGUGUGGAGGGAAGGGCACCCAGGGAGCACCUGGUCAGGCCUUCCCGGGGGUCCCGGUGAUCCCCCAGCCUCCCUGGGCCUGGAGGGAGGAGCAGGACUGGGACCCAGACACCUGCCCUGUCCACAGCUGGCCCUGCCCUGUCCACAGCUGGGUCUGCCCUGUCCACAGCUGGCUCUGCCCAUCACAUCUGGGCCGCCAAGGAAGGAGUGGGAGGCUGGCAGCAUGUGUGGGACAGACCAGUCAGCCGGCCUCAGGGGCUGAUGGCUUUCUAGAAAGCACAGCCUCUGAGGGCUUCCAGGCUUCACGUCACCCCAACAAACUGCCCUGGGUCUGGGCCAGCAGGGCAAGGGGACACAGUUCCAAGUGUCCAGCUGCCUGGCCCAGCACUCUGGAGGCCUUGGCCAGGGCCCCAGGGAGCCCCCACCUGCUGCGGGCCCUGCUCCCCUGGCCCCUGCAACCACCGCGGGGCAGGACGCCUGGGACAGCCAAGAUCCUGGCCCCAGACAAACGGGGUUCCCAGGGUCUGUGAGGACGUGGCAGGGCCUCUUGGCUUUCUGCUGACCUGAACCCCACUGGCCUUACCGAGGUCAGAACCUUGGGUACCUCCGAGUAAGGACCGUCUGCACCCUGGUGGCAGCCUGUAUGGGGACUGCAGCGAGGGUGGGUGGGGGAUACAUCCCUGGGGCGUCAGUGGCCGGGUGGGCCCCCUUCCCCCUCUGCUGGGGUCCUCAGGGAAGGGCUUUCAGCUCUCAGUUGGGGUCCUCAUCUGCAAAGUGCAGCUGAUACCAAUACUGCGCCGUUGCUGUUGGUGACACCAAUACUGCGCCGUUGCUGUUGGUGACACCA
rnacentral:lncRNA from 1 species